rnacentral:rRNA from 1 species
AGUGAACGCUGGCGGUAGGCCUAACACAUGCAAGUCGAACGGCAGCACAGUAAGAGCUUGCUCUUACGGGUGGCGAGUGGCGGACGGGUGAGGAAUACAUCGGAAUCUACUUUUUCGUGGGGGAUAACGUAGGGAAACUUACGCUAAUACCGCAUACGACCUACGGGUGAAAGCAGGGGAUCUUCGGACCUUGCGCGAUUGAAUGAGCCGAUGCCGGAUUAGCUAGUUGGCGGGGUAAAGGCCCACCAAGGCGACGAUCCGUAGCUGGUCUGAGAGGAUGAUCAGCCACACUGGAACUGAGACACGGUCCAGACUCCUACGGGAGGCAGCAGUGGGGAAUAUUGGACAAUGGGCGCAAGCCUGAUCCAGCCAUACCGCGUGGGUGAAGAAGGCCCUCGGGUUGUAAAGCCCUUUUGUUGGGAAAGAAAAGCAGCAGGUUAAUACCCCGCUGUUCUGACGGUACCCAAAGAAUAAGCACCGGCUAACUUCGUG